UGUCAGCGGCAGUGUCUGAAAGCUUAUUGGUACCCAAACAUGAAGGGACUGGGCUUGGUUCUCCAUUGUGCUUCUCCUGAUGCUCGCAGCUGGGGAGGGAACUGAUCCAGAAACGCAGUAUUGGACUUGUGGGUAUAGGGGAUCUGCAGGCGGUUCUGCUAUGCUCAGGAAUACAUUGUUGGUCAUCACGGCUGCCCUCGAGAUACAGGUGCUGUGCUAUGAGGGUACUAGCACAGCUCUACUUGUCUAAUGCUGCCUGCAAGUUGCCGCAUCAUCAGCUCUGACAUAUCGAGUACAGGUAGCUGUCGUCCAGGUAACUCUCCUGGAUGAACCGUCUUGACAACUUUACUUUCAUUCGACCUCUCUUGGCCUCCGAACGCCCGUGGGAUCUGACAAUGAGUGCUUUUGAAGUGGAUUUUUCUGUAAUUAGACAAAGCUCAUUUACAGCUGUUGGGUGUGUAUCUUCUCUGUACCUCACACAUUUUACAACAGCACUUUGUCAGCAGUUAAUUCUAUCUUUCUGGAAUGCAGUGUUGCGAAUAAAUGCAUUAAAAUAAAUACACUGACGUUUGGUUUGUUGCUGCUGUUGUUGUCUAGUUAGGAUGCUCCCAGUCAGUCAAAGCAUAAUUUACAUCUCAAAACUACCUAAAAUACACAGGUAAUUUCUAUGUGCAACCCAUUAUCCAGCUUGGCUUGACCUUGGGGAGAGAACAGCACGGAAAGCAGUCUGAGUUGAGUUUGGCAUGCUGUCGCCCUGUACCGACAGGAGACAAUAAUGGUCAAGUGACUGACCCAAUAGCUGUGAUGGAUGGAAUAGAGCUUUUGUGAAUGAAGUGUUAUGUCUCCUGUCUGUGUUUAUGUUGUCUCACCAUUCUGUCUGUCUGUCUGGACAAUGUUGUCUGGAAAAAACAAUGUCAGAAUCCACCAGCCAUGACUGCAAAGCAAAUUCAUUGUCAUGUCGUGUCCCGUUCUCUGAUUGUAAGGUCAGAAGUCUUUGC